UCAUCCUUGGUUAUGUUGUGUAUUUAAACGGCUCAGAUGCUUCGAACAAAGAGAAUAAAAGAGCUUUGGUCAAUAUGACCAAGCUUUAUUUCGUUUAGACCAAAGUAGUAGUUUUCCUUUCCUUAUCUCUUCUUCUUCUUCAAUAUCUUUCUCAGCCAUGAAAUCUUGUACCAAAAACAGCUCCAACAUCAUGAAAGUUUAAUUCUCCCAUUAAUCUUGCCUGCCAACGCUUGGAAUGAAAUAAGCAUUGCAAUAUUGAUAUCAUUUUCCGGAACUCUAGCAUAUUGUGCUAGAAUUUAAGCUAAGAAUUCUUGAAUUUCAUCAUAAUAUGUAGG
rnacentral:lncRNA from 1 species